rnacentral:rRNA from 1 species
GGCGAACGGGUGAGUAACACGUGAGCAACCUACCCUUGACUCUGGGAAAACAGUUGGAAACAGCUGCUAAUACCGGAUACGACCUCGAUGGGCAUCCGUUGAGGUGGAAAGCUCCGACGGUCAAGGAUGGGCUCGCGGCCUAUCAGCUUGUUGGUGGGGUAAUGGCCUACCAAGGCGACGACGGGUAGCCGGCCUGAGAGGGCGACCGGCCACACUGGGACUGAGAUACGGCCCAGACUCCUACGGGAGGCAGCAGUGGGGAAUAUUGCGCAAUGGGCGAAAGCCUGACGCAGCAACGCCGCGUGCGGGAUGAAGGCCUUCGGGUUGUAAACCGCUUUCAGCAGGGACGAGGUUUUCUGACGGUACCUGCAGAAGAAGCACCGGCUAACUACGUGCCAGCAGCCGCGGUGAUACGUAGGGUGCGAGCGUUGUCCGGAAUUAUUGGGCGUAAAGAGCUUGUAGGCGGUCUGUUGCGUCGGAAGUGAAAACUCAGGGCUUAACCCUGAGCCUGCUUUCGAUACGGGCAGACUUGAGGGAUGUAGGGGAGAACGGAAUUCCUGGUGGAGCGGUGGAAUGCGCAGAUAUCAGGAGGAACACCAGUGGCGAAGGCGGUUCUCUGGACAUUUCCUGACGCUGAGAAGCGAAAGCGUGGGGAGCAAACAGGCUUAGAUACCCUGGUAGUCCACGCCGUAAACGGUGGGCACUAGGUGUGGGAUCCCUCCACGGAUUCCGUGCCGUAGCUAACGCAUUAAGUGCCCCGCCUGGGGAGUACGGCCGCAAGGCUAAAACUCAAGGGAAUUGA